UUUGGGGGUUGGUCUUAUGGCCUCUUUGAAGGGAAUCAAGACAAUUCCUCAAUUGAGGGUCCCUUUUCAGUUGAUUCUAAUUAGUGGCAAGAUGCCUUUAAAACCAACCAUCACAAGUAGUAAGCACUGUGCUCUGUCUAGCAUAGCCUGAGCUGUUUUCCCUACAAGGUUCCCCAGCAAAUGACAGAGAUGGAACAGUGUAUUCUGCGACUUCUCCCAGGGAGAUGUGAAUAGAUAUCUAUCCACGUCGAGUAGAGGACAGGUGACAGACUAGAGAAGCCAUUCUACCCAGGGCUGUCUUGGUGGACCAGUGAGUUCAUUGGUGGUGGUGGGGGGGGGGAUGGGAGCACAUUUACAGGAGCAUCCGUGACUCGAAGGCAGAUGCUCCACAGCUUGGAAGAUGGCUUACAGAACCUGCAACAGGGAUCUCGCCGUGGAACUUGAAGUCAGUCCCACUGAGAAAGGAGAAAGUCCGACCUGCCCCUCCCCCCACACAAUGAAAGCUUCUAGAAUCUUGGGGAGGGUCUCUGUAAGUAGUGUAGAUUUCAGGCACUUACCUCCUGAGACUCGUAAGUUUUGUUAGCUUCCAGAGUCUUAACGACCCUCCCUCCAGGAGGAAAUGGUUCAAUUUGGAGAGAACAGCGUGAGCGGAGCUUUAUAACCAGACAACUGGCUUCAGAAAUGGGCCUGACUCUUUGAUACAACCUGAGGGUAACCUGGGCAGUGUCCUGAUGGAAGAAAGGAGACCUUGGUGCUGAGCCUGAGUGUUUCCUAGAUGCAUGAUGAGGAACUUCCCUUCCUAACAGAGAGAACGCUUCUGGAGGGAGAAGGGAUACAAGAAAGUGCAGUUUUCACUUAUAUUGUGAAAUGUGAAAAUAAAGUCAUCAGCUCUUUUAAAAAAAAAGACUUAUAAGGCAAGCCACAUAAAAAGACAGAAUCUUCUACAACCUCAUAACCUGCAUGAAGAAAUACCUCUUGGACACCAACAGAUCUUAUACCUGAGAGGAAUAAGUGUAUAUAGAGUUUAACAUAUGGUUAAGAAAACAGUGUUGUGAGACUUUUCCUAGGGAGAUGUGAACAAAGAUGUGUUCACCCCAGAUAGGUAGUCAAUGACAGACUAAAGUUGUCUAGAUGAUGAGUUCAUUGAAUUCCAGCUCAGUGAACCGGUGAGUUGAAGGAGUGUGCUUACAGACUGUGGAUGACAGAUCGCCGACAGGAGGAUAGAUGACUCAAAGACAGCUGUGCCAUCAGAAAGUCCACUACAGCAUCACUGAUGACUCAUAGAAGCUGCAUCCCUGGGUUUUACUAAGGACUUGUAGGCAGCUUGGCUGACCAAGAUAGUCUUUUUACCCCAGUAGUCGUUUCUGUUUCAAUAACUUUGGAGAGGGACCUUUCGAUUACUGUUUCAGGAACUUCCUGAGACUUGUUAAAUGUUUUCUUCCUGGGGGAUAAAUUUUGUUUGCCUUCAGACGUUUAAGGAACCUCUUCUAUGGAGGGGAAAUAGUGGCAGAACAGACAAGUAGUGACAUCUCAAGAGUAGCGUCAUGGAAGGACACAUUUAGAAGGAAGCAAUAUGGGAAUUCAUGGUAGGCAAAGAAUUUACAAGCAACAGUAAAAUUGUCUCUUUUGGUAUCACCUUUCACCAACGAUUCUCAGUACUGUCAGUUAUAUUUAGUAUUUCUAAAUCUUUUAUUGGUUUGAUUUCCAGACGUUUGUGUCAGUAACUCUUGAGGCUUAGCGAUGUGUAACUAUCCGAGUGGCUUAUAAGACCAUGUUUCUGAAAUUUCUAUACAGAAUUUAACCAGAGCCACACUUUGCAUCAGAUUUAAUGAAAUGUCAGGUAAAGGAAUGCAGUUGUCUUCCACGGACACAGAUACUGGACUAGAGAUUUGGGGGCGGGGGAUAAUGCUGUGUUUCUAUUUGGAAAAUAUACAACUUUGUAUGAUAGCACUAUUGUAAUUGAGUUAAUAAAGUAAACAUAUUCCCCCCCCCCACUUUUUGUACCACUAUUUAUUCCUGGAUGGAUUAGAACUUGUUAUGUAAGCCAGACUGGUCUGGAACUCACAGAGAUCCACUUGCUUCCAGAAUACUGAGAUUAAAGUAAAGAUAUGUACCACUUUUUUUUUUUUUUUUGGUUCUUUUUUUUUCGGAGCUGGGGACCGAACCCAGAUAUGUACCACCUUAUCAGGAAGUAGAUAUCUUUAAAUCAUUUAAGCUAUUCUAUAAUGUAGUAUACAUGAGCUAUAGUAUACAUGAGCAAGAACUUUUCUGAGUCCUUGAAUUUUUAAUUUUUAAACCUAGCCUGAUGCCCAACAGUGCCAGCCCAGUUCCUCAGUAGACUCAGUCAGGAGGAUUACAAGUUCAAGGCCGGCAUGGGGAGGUUAAUGCGACCAUCCUGAAAUAAUAAGUAAAGUAAAGGCCAAGGGCAUAGCUCAGAAUCGGAGUUCUUGCCUAGAAUCUCUCCUUAAAGGAUAGGGAUGUGACUCGAAUGUAGAGUGAUUGCCUAGCAUCCCCCUGGAGGGGCUAGAAGCAUGGCUGAACAGUGGAUGCUUGUCUAGCAUAUGUGAAAUUCUGGAUUCAGCCCUUGGUGCUGAAUUUUUUUUUUAAAGAUGUUUUGAAUUGGCCAAAGAGAUUUCCCAAAGGAAGAAGUAUGAAGAAAUUCAUAUCCAUGUUCUUCAAGUAUGAAAACCUGGAACAUUGAUGUUUUGGAGAUUAAGGUCAAAGUUAUGGAUGGUCCCAAUAAAUAAGAUGAAUGUAGUACACCUAAACACAUGUCUGGGGCAUAGUGGUGAUUUGCUUUAAUAUGCGUCUUAUAAGAAUGGUAUGAUAACUCAGUAGGGCCUCUGAGCAGUCUUUGUCACAGUGAACCUAUCUUGAAAAUAUUGUCAGCCUUCCAGGUCACAGUGCAUCCUUGGGGAGAGUGGGGAUAGGAACUAAAGCAGAAUCCACGAUGGCGGCUCUCAGAUGCAUGUUUAGGUAGCUUUCUUACAGCCUGGGUUAACCAGCCUGAGGAAUGGUUCUGCCCACAGUGGGCUGGGUUCUUCAACAUCAAUUACUAAUCAAGUUAAUCUCUUACAGGCAUGUCCACAGAAAAACCUGAUCUAGGUAAUUCUCUUGAGGCUUUUCCGCUCAGACGACUCUAGGCUCUGUCAAGUUAACAGUUAUAGCUAACCAGGACACCAUGGGGCAGCGUCCCUGGCACCCAUUUCCAGGUAUUUGUGAGGUAAAGUUCUGGUCUAUAGGAGCAGGAACUAGGAGCAGAUUGAGUCUGUGAUGGCUACUUUUGAUUAUGGACCUGACUACAUUUGGAAUCAACUAAAACCCCAAAGUGGAGGGGCGCACCUGUGAAGGAUUUUUGCUUAAUUCGAAGUGGGAAGAUCCACUUCUAAUCCAGACCUUUGGAGGUGGGAAGACGGCAUUCAAUUCAGUUGCUUUCAGGCGGGAUGACUCAUCUCCAAUCUGGGCCACACUUUCUGUUCAAAGCCUGUAUAAGGACAUGGAAGAUGGAGGCUUUUGCUCUUCUCAUGCUUCUUCUUAGCUUGCUAGCAAGUCCAUUCCUUCAUUGACGUAACUGUUGUUGGACUGGUUGGACCACAGGAGACUCAUUCUGUAAGUUCUGUUACUCUUUAGUUUCACAGAAACCCCAACACAUACAGAGUUAUUGGCUCUUCUUGGCUUUAUUCUUCUUUGUUGCAGGGCUUCUUCUUGAUUGCUAACUAACAGGAUUGAGAUACACGUAGGAAAUCAGUAAAGCACACAUUUGGGGGGUGUCUCUCAUAGCAUGUCCAUCUUGGGGACUCUGGCAUAAUCAAUGGAUUAAUCCAUUAAAGGCAUUAUUGGGAGAUGGAAAUGUUGGGGGGUAUAGCCCAGUUGGAGGAAAUCGGUCAUUUGGAGGUAUAUUUUUGGGAUUAUAUAUUGUACUUUCUCCUUCCUUCAUUUCCUUGUUUCUUUGUUUCUUCCUUCCUUUCUUUCUUCCUUUUUUUCCUUUCUUUCUUCCUUCCUUCCUUCCUUUCUUUCUUUCUUUCUUUCUUUCUUUCUUUCUUUCUUUCUUUCUUUCUUUCUUUCUUUCUUUCUUUCUUCUCUCCCCUUACUAUUUUACUAUUUACCUCCUGUGCCAGAGUCUCUUGUCACCAUAACGUUCUGCCUGAAUGCAUGAGGUCAAGUGGGCAUGAAAUUAACUCUAAAACCAUAAAACAAAACAUAUCUUCCUUCACUUGCUUCUCUCAAGUGUUUUGUCACAGCUAUUCAAAAGUAGCCAACAUGUCUGCCUUUCAGAAUCCAGAAAGAGCUCACUUAAUGAGCAGCCAAUGUCCUCGCCUCUCUGGACUGAUGUUUCUUUCUGCCUAUGGUGAUGUCAUCUGCUGCACUCCCUUUUCUGGGGCCUGAGUAGAAAUGGGAGUGAGUCAGAAAAGUUUAAUUGGGUCCCAGAUGUGAUUAACCAAGACUCAUUCUUCUACACUGUGCUGGUGUUUAGCACACCACAAAUUCUAUCACUGCCCAGUGGGUCCUAAAAACCGUUCUGCUUUUAAUGCGCCUUUGCCUGGUUUACUCAAGUUGGAAUUUAAAUCAAAGGGUAACGUCUAUAUUGGGGAUAACUUUGUAGUUUAUCUUAAUAUAAUGGCUAAUAAAUGUCAGGGUUUAAAGGGGCUUUUUAAAAACAAUGACUUUAACAAUGUUAUAUACUUUUAAGGGAAUCUAGCAAGCCAUUGACGGAAUCUAGUACAGUGUAAUUUGAGACAUUAUAAAAAUAGCAGUAAGAAUAGGAGACACAAACUUCCAAGGCAUUGAACCAGAGCCAAAACAGAUACAGAAGUGCUUCCUGCAAUGAAAAUGGAGCCUUUUGUGCCUUCUCAGUCAGCUCCCAAGGCAACAGAUUGACAACAUGGUCUGUAUCGUUACCAGCCUCCUUUAGACUGGAGAGAAAUAGAAGGCAGGCUCCCGGGAUUUUCAUAAAAUCCUAGUGUCGUUCUUGAAACUAAAUCCUGUGCUGAUUUCCCCUGGUUAUGUGAUAUUAGGGUCAUUUUAGUAACUAGAGCAGAGGAAAUAGCAUACGAAGGUGUCUUAGUCUGCUUUCUGUAACUGUAAGGAAAUCACGGCGACUAGGCAAUUUACAGACAAGAGAAGUUGGCUUCAUUCACUGUUCUGAAGACUGGGAAGCCCAAGAGCAUGAUGCUGGUAUCUGGGAAGGAUUUUCAUGUAGCAUGGUGUCAUAUGAAGAGACAGGGCAAGUAUGCUAGUUUGAGUCUCUUUUUUCUUAGAAAGCCAUGAUAACUAGCCUAGGAAAAGAUAACCCCCUUGACCUAAUCAAAUUCUAAUUACCUCCCAAAGACUUUGCCUCCCGGUGUCAUCAACAAGUGAAUUUGACUGUUGAGUUUUCAACACGUUCAGAGGGCACAUUAAAACUACAGCUCUAACCUUCACGUCCCGUGGUGCCAAUGCCUAUGAUAUGACCGACAGCUUUAAUGAUCAUUUGAUCUCAUGGCAUCUUUUGUCCCCUAGUUGUGAAAAACAAGGAUUUAUCCAUGAUUCUGUUAUUUGAUUUCUUUGUUCUUCCAUAAGCAUCUUGUCUCUGCUGCCCAGUCUGUUUCUAUAACUAUAACCAAGUAUCUAGAACUGAAUAAUGUAUAACAAUUAAAGUUUGUUUGGGCCAUAGUUCUGGAGGUGAAGAGCUCCAAGACCAUGGAGCUAGUAUCUAGUGAGGGAUUUUGUGGCCUCCUGACAUGCUGGAGGGCAGCACAAGAAUCUUACUAACUCACUGAAUUCGUUCCACCAACACUUAGUGUCUGAUCACCCUUGACUUGUGGUCAAGUUCUUCAUUUAUUAACUUGGAUGUACCAGUGUUUAGCUUGCCUUUAACAAGAGUCUUAAAGCUUAAUGGGAAUCUCACAACCUCAGUAUCACUUUUGAUAAUUAUUCAAGAAUUGACUAUAUAAUCCCGUUCUUUGUCUAUUAAUCUCGACUUGCUCUUAUCUUUAGAGUUGAGCCUAAUUUCUGUAUCUUCCUUUAAAAAAUACCAUUCCUAUUUACUAUUUGGAAGUGUCAUACAUGCAUGAAAUGAAUUUUGGUUGUAUUUGCUUACUCUGCCUCUUUCAAUGUCUGCCCAUGUUCUCUACCAUUUUUUUUUUUGGUCUUUUUUGUUAUAACCCACUGAAUCCAGGUAGUGACACUUAUACAUACACAGGUGUGGGUAGGGUCAUCCACUGGAGCAUGGCCAACCUACCAUGGGGCCAUACUAAUGUCAAAAAUGAUUUCUUUCUCCUCUAGCAACUAUCUACUGUCAAGAGUUCCUCAGGGUGUGAAGUCUUGUGGGUCAGUCUCUCAUCUGUUCUUGAACGAUGACUGGAUUGUCAUUGUACAGGUCUUGUGCAGUAAGCCAUAGGUGCUGAGACUAAAUAAUUUCAGUGGCCUUGUCAUAUCUAGAAGACACUGUUUCACACCAAUCCUACGUAGUCUUUGACUCUUACAGUUUUUCUUCUCCCUCUUCCAUGAUGUUUCCUAAGCCUUCGGGUAUGAGUGCAAUAUAGAGGUUCUAUUACAUUUGAGUGGUCCUCAUAUCCUGUUUCAAUACUUCAGUGCAAUAGUUCUGUGUUGUGUGGCUUCUCCUGGGGAUACAUGAGCUAAAAAACUACUCACCCCAGUUGAUUCCAUCUACAUCUACAUCUAGUCAAACUAAAGAAACUAUUCCACAGAUGUCUAGUUCACGAAACUAAUGAGUUCAUGGGGGUUGUUUAAGGAGUAUGGUGGAAGGUUACUUCCACGGGUACCUCAAAGCAGCUGUGUCAUUGAACAUUCCUUCACAGCAUCAGUGGCAACUCGUGAACUCUGCAUCCCUGGAGUUCUCCAUAGACUCUUUAUGACUUACAGAGCUUGGGAGAGUAGUUGUGAGCAUCUUGUCAUUUUCUGAGCUUUCUGAGCCUCCUAAGCUUUAUAAACUUUCUGAGCAAGUCUUGGGAGCCUCUCCCUCUCCACGAAGGAAUGUUUCAGUUCAGGGGAGACAGCCACACAAUAUCUUAAAUAGUCUUUCUUACCAUUUUAACAAGUGUCAGAGUAUUUUUAACAUUGAAAGUUUUCAUGGCUUGGAUAUAAUCCUUCUCAGUAGUGGAUUCCUAGGCCCCUCACUGUGAACCCCAAAUAUGCAAUGUGAUGCCUUUCUCAUAAUGGAUUGGGGAUCUAUUGAUAAGUUCCAAACCCGAUGGAAUCUAUUGCUCUGUAAAAAUAUCAGUCGAGGAACACAGCGAGGGAUUCUUAAGACUUUUUCCUCCUUAUUAGCACAUGCUCAUUUGUUAAGAAUUAAGACUUUCAUGGUAUCCUCAUGUCUGUAUAUCAUCCUUCUUAGUCUUAUACAUCUCCAUCACCAUCAUCUCCAAGUUCUUGGUCUCCAUUCUCUUCCAAAAUAAACCAUGACUUCUGUAUUCAAGUCAUUAUUUUUUUCUUAAAGUUUAGAACAUGCUUAUGAGAUAAACAUGCAAUGUCUGUCUUUAAAAAGACAAAUAAUGCCAGUUAUGGGUCAAGGCCGGUUCAUGGGCUGCAGAGUAAGUUCAAGGCUAACUUGGGAAAUUUGGUGAGACCUUGUCUCAGUGGCAGACUGAUUUACUAUACAAGCUGAUCCGAAUUCAAGUGCCAGCAUUAACAACAAGAGAAUAUAUAUGAAAGACAUCCCUAAAAGACUAAAGGUAUCAUACCCACAAGUUUGACAUUAUAGUCUUUGUUUGUUUGUGGGGGCUAAGGAUAAUUGCUUAAAAGGACAGCAGGGUGAGUUGAAGAGAUGGUUUAGUGGUUAAGAACCCUUACUGUUCUUGUGGAGGAUCACAUUUGGGUUCCCAGUACCCAUGUGGCAGCUCACAGCCACUUAUAACUCAAGUUUCAGGGGUUCUGGCACUUCUGUUAGCUUUGUGGCCAAUACACACACACACACACACACACACACACACACACACACGCUGCAUACACUCACACAUACAUGUAAAACGAGAAUAAAAAACUUUAAAGAGGGCAGAUGGAAUCAUGGCCAAGAAGAAGGACUGUGGGCCUUUCCAAAGCCAAUAUCUAUUUUCAGAAGGGAACAGAGCACUCACAAAAACUAUGUCAUUUGAAUGAUGCUGCAUGACGCCCCCAAUGAGUCAGACACUUGGAGCAUCUCUGCUAAAUGUCACCUCAGAGAUGUAACGUUCUCACAGAUCUAUUUCUUUGUCCCAUCUAGACAAUCAGUAAAAUUUAAUUAUUUUUAGAAAAGAAGCAAAGAUGUGAGGGUUGAGAGGUGGCUUAGAGGCUAAGAAUACUUUCUGCUCUUGAAAAGGACUAGAAAUUGCUUCUAGACACCUAUAACAAGGAGUUCACAACCUCCUGUGAUGCCAAAUUUAAGGAAUCUGAUGCUUAUGGCCUCUGAAGGCACUCAUAUGCAGCCCCACAUAACUACAUCACACACACACACACACACACACACACACACACACACACAUAUAUAUAGUUUACAUAUACAUAUAUAUGUAAAAAUAAUAAAAAAAAUUUAAAAAGAAGUCACAAAAGAAAUAAUCAAGAGGGCCAUGUAUUAGAGACUAUUCUUGGCUCGAAAAUGUACAUUAUUCCAUGUCCCAUUCUUUCUCUCUCUCUCUGGUAUGUAAGUGUGUUCACAUGUGGGUUCACAGGUAAGUUCAGGUGCUCAUAUAUGUAUGCCUGUGAAGGCCAUGUCUCAAAAAAUACAACACAAUACAUUGCACAACACAAUACAUUGCGGGUAGCAGAAUAUGCUGUUUUGAUUUGCAUAUUUGAGUUAUUACAAAGCUGUCAAGCUUUCAUCAUGUCUAGAGACCAGUGCAGACCUAGGAGAGGGUGAUAGCAGAGAAUUGAGGAGCAGAGUCCAUAAGGGAAGAAGAGGGAGCUGGUGAAAGGUUUUGGUCAAGUGAAGUAUUUGCCAUGCCAACAUAAGGACCCGAGGAGAAUCUCUGAGAAAACACAGGGAAAUAACAAAACAACAGAAUCCUGUGCAUGGUAGCCCAUGACUGCGGAGACAGUGUGAGAGAGGUGGAGACAGAGGCAUCCCAGAGGUUCAUCUGCCAGCCAGGAUAGCCAAAUUGGUGAGCUCUGGGGUCAGUGAAAGACCCUGUCUCAAAGUAGAAGGUGGAGAGCGAUUGAGGAAGACACUCUGACUUCUGGCCUUCACAGGUAAGCAUAUGUGAGUAUCUGAACUCACAUGCGAACCCACAUAUGAACACACACACACACACACACACACACACACAUAUCAAACAAGCAAACAGACCAAACAAGAAAGAAUGUGAUAUAGUAUAAUGUACAUUUACCAUUUACCUCCUGUAAUGUUUAGGGUCAUUCCAAAGAAGUCGGCUUUGGAAGCAGAGGAAAUGCCUCAGGUUUCAGACCCUUGGUCUCAGCAUCCUCCAAGUAACAAUCUCACCAUUGUUAUUGGCCCCUCCUCGGCUGCCAUCAGAUUGCAGCUGCUUUGGCUUUCCCAUAUGGAAAGAAGGCCAGAGGCUCUUCAGGAAUCCCCCCAGGCCUUCAGCAUCACUCUGUGACAGCUGAGUCAUCCAGCCUCAUGGACCAAGAAGCUAACAGAUUCUCAGCUUCUCCAGUGUGAAGACAUCCACUGUUGAACUACCCAACCUGCAUCGUGUAAGUCAAUCUAAUAGUCCCUAUUAGGAAUGCUCAGAACCAUCUCUCUCACUAUGUCCUGUCUGGACACUUCAGUGAGGAGGGAUGGAAGGCACCCAAGUCCGUCAUUUCAUGAUUAAGCCACUAGCUAUAUUUUUAGAUUUAUUCUUGAGCGUGAUGAUAAAUGUCUUUAUUUAUUAAAGCAGUUUAAAUCAGGUCUAUUUAUUACGUUCGUGUUGCCAAAGCCAUCGUAACUAAUUCACAGGGAUGAAAAGUGGAUCAUGCAAUUGCAGAAAUGUUGGUUUAUCAGAUUUUAUAACCAGGCCACACCUCUUCCAUUGAGCUGUGUCAUCCUUUGAAUGAAACAUGUCUCCCACAGGGUAGUGGCUAAUGAAUUUGAAUACUCAGAGCUCAGGUGACGGUGCUGUUUGUGAAGGUUGUGGGCUCUCACUAGAGGAAGUGGGUCACUGAGGGUUUUAGGUUUUAUAACUCAAACUUUUCCUCUCUGUUCUCUGCUCCUUGUCUGUCUUAGCCUUGAAUGCCAGUUUGAAACAACUCAGGAAGGUCUGGCCUGUGGGCAUGUCUGUGAGAGACUGCCUUGUUCAUUUAUUGAUGGAGAAGGCCCAGCCCACUGUGGGCAGCACCAUUCCCUGAGCUGUAUAAGAAAGUUAACUAAAUAUGAGCCUUGAAUGAGUCAAUAAGGAGCAUCCUCUAUGGUUUUGAUGUACUGCUUUGCAGCGAAGUAAGUUCUUUGGUUGGAGAUAAUGUUAUGUGGAGAAGUGUGCAGUUAGUUCUGCCUUGAAGUUCCUAUUUGACUUCCUCCCCUGACUUCCUUCGAUGAUGGAGUAUAACCUAGAAGCGGAAACAAAUCUUUUCUCCCCCAAUUUUUCGGGGGCAUGGUAUCUGUUACACCAACAGAAAGAAACUAGAAUAUUGGCUGGCCACAGUCUUCCAUGGCUCUUCGAUGACUGUCCACCAUGAUGAACUCUACUCCUGCUUUAGUUAGGGUUUUACUGCUGUGCACGGACACCAUGACCAAGGCAACUCUUCUAAAGGACAACAUUUAAUUGGAGCUGGCUUAUAGGUUCAGAGAUUUAGUCCAGUAUCAUCGAGGUGGGAACAUGGCAGCCUAGAUCUAAUGCAGGAGGAGCUGAGAGUUCUACACCUUCAUCUAAAGGCUGCUUCCAGACAGCUAGGAUGAAGUUCUUAAAGCCCACACCCACAGUGCCAUACCUACUCCAAAAUGGUCACACCUACUUGAACAGGGCCACACCUUCUAAUAGUGCCACUUCCUGGGCCAAGCAUAUACAAAUCGUUACAAAUCCCUAGAACUUUAAGGUGAAAUAAACCCUCUUUUCCUUUCUUCAGUAGCUUUCUGUGUCAUAGCAAUGAGGAAUUUUCAAGAAAAAUUAAUGAAACUGGAGGUCAUUUUGGGAGGUGAACUAAUGACUCAAACACAUGUUCCGUGUGACCUCUCAUAUGUGGUGAUCUGUAGUUAAAUGCUCACAUCCACAUGUGCAUACAUGACAUGCGAGCAGAAAGAGAUAAGCAGAGCCAGGAAAAAGAGAGGUCUAGGGUGAGCAAGGAAAGAUAGUGGAGGGAGGGAGAUGAACCAGGAACAUGAUAUGUAUAUAUGAAGGUGUCAUAAGGAAACCAUCCAUUAGUCCACCCAUUUCAAAAGGAAAAUUAAACAAAAGCUCUCUAUAAGGAUCUUCAGAGGGUGGAUGGAGGUUGGAGGAAGCUCUCUCUGUGUGUGUGUGUGUGUGUGUGUGUGUGUGUGUGCAUGUGCAUGUAUGUGUGUGUUUGUGUGUAUGUGUGUGUGUGUGUGUGUGUGUGUGUGUGUACCACAUGAGUACCACAUACGGGUGGGUGCACAUAGAGGCCAGAAAAGGGCACUGAAUCCCCUAGGUCAGCAGAUAUGGGAGCCAGGGUCCUAACCUGAAUCCUCUGGAAGAGCAGCCAACAAAUGCUCUUAGUCUUUGAGUCUUCUCAGUCCCUAAAAGUACUUCUUGUCGAAAAGUCUAUUCAGAAAGCCUGUUCCAUUUGCUGUCAACCCUGUAUACAUGACCACUCCGAGGACAUGGCUGUUUCAUUAAACCAACAGUGUAAACUAGUCAUAUCACCUAAAUGAUGCGACCUUGAAAACCGCUUGGGUUAAUUGCUAUUAAUCUGAGAGCUUUGUGGAAGUGAGAAUUAAGCUCUCUUCCAUUAUAGCUUGUGUCCCCACGGAGAAGGGAAGAUGCUGAGAAGCGCAGAAAGAGAAGACAUCAGGCUCCAAGCCAAAGAAGUUCGUUAUGACUUUCCAACACUAGAAGUUAGAAAAGUUAAUGAGAUAUUUUCCCCAGGGUUAUCAGAGGGAGCGUUGCCCUCUAGAGGCCUUGAUCUUGGGCUUCUAGCCUUUAUGAGUAUGAGACACAACAUGUUUCUGUUGUUUUCAAGUCACCUGGUUGAUGGGACUCUAUUACAUCUCUAGGAAACCAGCAAACAUGGUGAUCUGAGUAGACAGAACUGGAGUGUGUUGGUUACCUUUCUCAUUGUUGUGACAAAAUGCUUCCCCCACCCCUACCCCCAAAGCAAUGUAAGGAAAGAGGGUUUUUACUGGACCACAGUUUGAGGCUAUGCUCCAUCCUUGUCUGGGAGCCAUGGCAACAGGAGCCUGAGGCAGCUGGUUCCAUUGCAUUCACAGUUAGGGCCCGGAGAGGUAAACACUGGUACCCAACUCCCUUUCUCCUUUCAUCACUUUGAUUCAUUCUGAGAUAAUCUUAGCCCACAGGAUAGCUGCACCCACAUUCAGGGAGGGUCUAUCCUUUCAAGCAAAGUUUCUUGGUAAACAUUCUCAUGGACACACUCAGAUAUGUGUCUCCUAGGUGGCUCCAAAUCCAGUUGAAGUGACAAUGGAGAUUAGCCAUGAUGAGUAGAAUGAAGAUUAGCUCUGAGGGAGUUGGCUGGGGAGGAAUAAUUGAAGCCAUAGCAAAACCCCAAGUAACAAUAAACCAUCAACAAAUAAAUCUGUCAUCAUUUCAGGGGAGAGGAAAAACAGAGAAAGUUCUGUGGAGGCACAAAGAGUGGAAGAUGGAGGAUUUAACAAUAAAGAGAUCUCUGGGUGGGGUUGGGGGCAGGGGUCCCUGGAGAGAUGGUUCAGCAGUUAAAGGCACUGACUGCUCUUCUAGAGGUCUUGAGUUCAAUUUCCAACAACCACAUGGUAGCUUAUAACCAUCUGUAAUGGGAUUUAAUGCCCUUUUCUGGUGUGUCUGAAGAUAGCUUCAGUGUACUCAUAUACAUUAAAUAAAUAGACCUUAAAAAAAACCAAAACUCCUAGCAGAGCCAUUCUGGGGGAGCAUUCAAAAACUGGGAUUACCUGACAAUGACCUUAGGGCCAGGCCCCUCCUCCCUUAAAUCACCACAGCUACUUACCAUGCAGCUUUCAUUAAGUUGAAAAAUACAUCCUGAGCUUAGUUUGCCUGUGAGGCUCAAACCGGUUUAUAUUUUGCACCGAGCUCUCUUCCUUAAUUAAGGGUAUGAAAGCCAAACAUUUCUUACAAUAGAAUCAAAAGAGAGAGGAAGUGUUUUACAGCUUCUGAGGGUGAGGAAUAGAUCUGUCGAUUAAAGAAAAUGCAAAGUAGAGAAUAAAUGGGCUGAGAUUUCCUUCCCCAAACAGAGCUCUGAAAUAGACACAAGUAAUCAGCAAGUGACUUUCCUUUAUAAUAAUAGGGAGGACGGACUGAGUGGUGCUAUGUGCUUUUUUCUCCUACAUAUUACUUCUACCUACGUAAUAACAACAAUACACCCUCAACAGCUAAAUCCACCUGAUCAUUUGGGGGAGAGGAAUAACAGAAAAUUCUGUGGAGGCACGAAGGAUAAGCUAAUAGAAUAUGAGGAAUUUAAUAAUUAGGAGGGCACUUUUUGUUUGUUUGUUUGUUUGUUUUUAUGUAUUCCUGUUAACAAUCUGUGAUGGCUCAUCUCAUCUCAAGUUUCAACUUGGUUGGACUAAGAGGCUCCUAGGAGAUUUAUAAAGCAUAUUUAUGGGUGUGUCUAAGAAAGUGUUUCUGCUGCUGAACUUGGGGUCACAAUCUGUACCCUAACAAGUAAUUUUGGUCAUUCACCCUCCAGAGACUGGAUAAAACAGCCAAACUAAUGGUAAAAAAAAAAAAGCAAGAAAAGGAAAGUUGUUCAAUGUGGUGACAUUGGGAAGAGGGCUUACAAAAACAAAACAAAACCAAACAAAACAAAACAAUCCACACUCCCUACACAACAAAGAAACCAAAACA